AUUGAACGCUGGCGGCAGGCCUAACACAUGCAAGUCGAGCGGAUGAAGGGAGCUUGCUCCUGGAUUCAGCGGCGGACGGGUGAGUAAUGCCUAGGAAUCUGCCUGGUAGUGGGGGAUAACGUCCGGAAACGGGCGCUAAUACCGCAUACGUCCUGAGGUAGAAAGUGGGGGAUCUUCGGACCUCACGCUAUCAGAUGAGCCUAGGUCGGAUUAGCUAGUUGGUGGGGUAAAGGCCUACCAAGGCGACGAUCCGUAACUGGUCUGAGAGGAUGAUCAGUCACACUGGAACUGAGACACGGUCCAGACUCCUACGGGAGGCAGCAGUGGGGAAUAUUGGCACAUGGGCGCAAGCCUGAUCACGCCAUGCCGCGUGUGUGAAGAAGGUCUUCGGAUUGUAAAGCACUUUAAGUUGGGAGGAAGGGAAGUAAGUUAAUACCUUGCUGUUUUGACGUUACCAACAGAAUAAGCACCGGCUAACUUCGUG
rnacentral:rRNA from 1 species